rnacentral:lncRNA from 1 species
AAUACCACUGAGAGGUGUAGACAGAAGAGAAGCUGUGUCAGUCAUUCCACAAUGGGAAGUUAUUGGUGACCUUUGAAAGGGCAUUUUUGGUGGAGACGUAGAGGUGACAGACUGACUGGAGUGGGCUCAAAGCGUUCACUCAUCCUUACCGCUUACUAAAAUGGAAUAAAUCAAGAACUUCAAAAGCUUCUGGUCAGGGCAGAUAGUAACUCACCCUGCCUGCAUUACCUCCUCUUACGUCCUACCUGGAAUUUUCUACACGUUCCUAGUUGAUGGGAAUACGCACUAAGCUCCAACCAUCAGGAGCCCUGUCAUCAAAAUUUUGAGAUUAUAGCAGUUCUGGCAAGGAAAGCUUCAGCCUUUAGGAGGACAAAAAAUGUUUACAUAGGAAGGUAGAGAUCAUCCAAAUUGAGUCCUUCUAUUUUACAUGUGGGGAAGUUGAGACCCAAAUCCCAGAGGUGACUUAUCGAAGGUUACACAGCUGCUCUUGCCUCUCUUCUCCCCCCAAGUGUACCUGGCAGGACUUCUGUGGCUUUUGAGCCUUUUGAAACAUUCCUUCCAAAUCCUGCUGGAGGAGCAGGGGUUGCUAAAACCACAGAUGGAAACUCGACACAGGGAGAGGCCGGGACUCCAGAAAAACUACUUUGGCCUCCGGUGAUGUGUUACCAUCAUGUGGCCCCACCGCUCGACUUUACUGGUGCCAAAGUAAGAAGUCCGGCAUUGGAAACAGACAUGGAGGUGAACAUUGAACCCAUCUAAAAGAAUUUGGAACAGCAGCUAUUUUGCCAAAAAGGCUGUUUUGUAACCCAG